rnacentral:rRNA from 1 species
UUUGAAGAGAGAGUUCAAUAGUACGUGAAACCGUUCGGGGGUAAACGGACAGAGCCCGUGAAUCCGGGCGCGCGGAAUUCAGGGUCGAUUCGCGGACGUCCUCGGGCGUUCGCGUCGAUUCGAUAUUUCCGUCGCCGACCCUCAACCGAGGGUGUCGGACGUCGCGACCCGUUCGCCAUUUUGUCGACGCUGAGGGACGCGUUUUCGGUUCGCCUGCGCGGCCGCCUCGGCGGUCGCGCGACGACGACGCGUUUCCGUUGUCUUCGACGCGGACGGUAGCUUUGCGCGCGGGUAUUCGACGCGGCCCUUCGCCCGGCGCUUCGUGCGUCGGGCGGCGCUCGCGUCGACGCCGGUCAGCGACGAAUCUUCGGGCCUCUUUCCGACCCGUCUUGAAACACGGACCAAGGAGUCUAGCGUGCGCGCGAGUCGCGGGGUAUCCGAGUCGUCGUAGUCGUUUCGCGCGGCGAACGCGACUCGUCACGAUACGAAACCCGUGUACGUACGUUGUGCGAAGGCGUAAUGAAAGUGAAAGGCGGCGCUUCGCGCGUCGCCGGGGGAAGAUGGUGUUCCGAGUUCACGUUUCGCGGUCGCACGUGUACCGCGACCGGACACCCGCAUUCCCAGGGCGUCCCGCUCGUACGUUCGCGGUCGGGGUUCGCGCUUCGGUCGCGGACGAACUGGGGCGCACCUACAGCGUGCACGCUGGUACCCGAAAGAUGGUGAACUAUGCCCGGCCAGGAUGAAGUCAGGGGAAACCCUGAUGGAGGUCCGCAGCGAUUCUGACGUGCAAAUCGAUCGUCUGAGCUGGGUAUAGGGGCGAAAGACUAAUCGA